UUUGCACUACAGGCCAAAGAUAUUCAUCAAAAAUCAUUCAUCUUUGCACUACAGGCCAAAGAUAUUCAAUAAUAUCAUCAUUUAAGACUGAGGAUGAUGAAAAAUAUUUUUAAAAAAACGAAUCCAGUGAAACAAAAUGACAAGGAUUAAGGAUUAAGGAUUCGUACUUUGUUUUAUCCACGUCCAAAAAUACCUCAAAAAUAAU
rnacentral:lncRNA from 1 species